rnacentral:rRNA from 1 species
UACGAAGGGGGCGAGCGUUGUUCGGAUUUCCUGGGCGUAAAGCGUGCGCAGGCGGCUUUGCAAGACAGAUGUGAAAUCCCCGGGCUUAACCUGGGAACUGCAUUUGUGACUGCAUGGCUGGAGUGCGGCAGAGGGGGAUGGAAUUCCGCGUGUAGCAGUGAAAUGCGUAGAUAUCGGGAGGAACACCAGUGGCGAAGGCGACUACCUGGCCUGUUCUUGACGCUGAGGCGCGAAAGCUAGGGGAGCAAACGGG